ACGGCGACAGUUCAAACCUUUGAUUAAUCAUGUUUUUGUGCCGGCCCCAUAAUUUAGUUGCUCUUUUUCCCUCCCUGCCUUUUUUUUUUAUCAGUGGAAACAGAGACCGAGUCCUCAUCAGCUUCAAUUACAAAUAUUAAGGCUCCGGACAGCACUUUGACAGAGAGGCGGCCAGCCCCCCACUUCGUCCCGCCCCCCUAAAUAAUCUCCGAAUUAACAUCACAAUCGGCGGCUGGCGCGCGUUCAGAUUUAAAUGGUGGCAUAUUGUUCGCGGACGGUCUAGUUCAGACCCGCGCGCUCGCAGCUCCCGCGGCGGGCCCCGCCUCUGCCCCCACAGGACCCUGCGGCCUCCCGGGAGGCUGUGACUCAGGAGCCGCAGGAGGCUCCAGGCCCUGUCUCCAGCAGGGGGCUGCAGGCAAGGGCGCGCUGGGGCGGGGCGGGCGGGAUGCAGAGAGGGGUCGGGUGUGGGGCGAGUUGGGCAGAGGGAGAGGAACCGCAGAUGCCGGGUGGCAGGAAAGGGGCUGGGGCUGCAGGGAGACAGGUGGAUUUGGUCGGGGUUGGGAAUUAGGAGGAAAGGACCGGCUCUCUGCAAAUUAGGUGCAAACGACGGCUCAGAAUGAGCGAGUUUGGGAAUGCCACUACACAGACCUUUGGAUUUAGGAUUUUGACCCCUCGCUGGAUCUGGAGGGCACCCUUGGGUGGAGAGGCCAGGAGGACCCGAUUUCUGCCUAGCAACAUCACAACCAAUCAAGAUGCAAUUAAACCUGUCAGUUCGGCUCAUCCUUAACUGGGAUUGGCUACUUGCUGUAUGCGUAUCCCAAGUUUUCAUUGGCUGACGGCCACCUGUAUGGAAAUGAGAAUUACCCCGGACUCUCAGGCCCUUCUCAGCAGUGCGGACCUGUGGCUUGGUUCGCUGAAACCUGCAAGGUCGGAGCCGAAACUCCUGGGUUUGCUUGUUGUCCUGUCUUCUCUUCCUCAAAGGAGAUCUCUUGAACAUUCCCUUUUCCCUCUGCGCCCCUGCCUAAGGCCUAGUCUGAAAGAAAUCCGACCAAAUAACCAGAAAUAAUGCGGAUUUGCACGCUUUCUGCAUCUUAUUUGCAUUCUCUAGGUUCAAGGUCAAGAUUUUGCCCCUUUCCUCUAAUGCUGCCAGUGUUCUAGCCCCUUUCUUACACGUCCAUUUAAGGGGCGGCUUCUCUCCGUGUGAAGUUCCUGCGUCCCUGCCUCGGGUUUGCCAAAACCCUCCCUUCCGGCUCAGCUUCCUUAAUUCCCGACCGCCCCCUCCUCCAUUUCAAGAUCCAGGCAUCUCGCACAACAAUCCAGUCUAGGAGGGAGUUAGAGGGGGAGGAGGACCCCCCCUCAAAAAAAACCCCUCCAUCCUCUCUCCCCAUCCAUUUUCUCCGAGGGAGCCGAGUUUGACAGCGAAUUCAUUCCGAGCGGGGAGGGUGAUUUAUUCUUCAAAUAUACCGACAAGUGCGGGCAUGAUGGAGCCCAUUAAAAUGUUGGGAGAUUGUUUUUAUGAUUGAAGUCUGUAUUACUCCAACCAUAAAGAAAGAGAGCAAGGAGUCAUUAGCA